rnacentral:lncRNA from 1 species
UCAUAAUUUCAGUGUAACUACUGUCCCUGCUUUUACAGUGUAAUUCUCCCAUAUUUUUUUUGUAAUUACUGUGUAAUUCUCAUGCCCAUGUUUUACGACUGUGUAAUUUACAGUGUUAUACUCCCAUAUUACAGUGCAAUUCUCAUGCCCAUGUUUGUAAUUACUGUGUAACAUGUCCUAGUAGUACUGUGUAAUUUACAGUGUAAUACUUCCAAAUGCUCCAGAAUUACUGUGUAAUUUAUCAUCCAAUUACAGUGUAAUUUGUCGUAACAGUACUGUGUAGUUUUCCCCCUAGUUCCAGUGUAAAUCUUUGAUUUACAGUGUCCUGAGAUAUGCAAGAUUUUUCAGUGUAUUAUGCCAUGGAAUCACUGUGUAAUUUGUCCUAGCAUUUACACAGUAAUUUUAGCCCAACUACUCAUGUAUUUUACAGUGUAUAUGCCCCGAUUUUACAGUGUAUUAUGCACUAGAAUCACUAUCUAGUAUGUCAUGAUUACACAACAAUUCUGGGAGGAAAGUUACCCCUUUUUCAGUGUAGUUUUAAUGUAGUUUUAUUCCGUAAUCAUCUUGCUUAGUUUAUGUUUUUAUAAUAUAUUUUUGCGCCUAUUUUUUGUAGUGUAAUGUUCAUGCUUUAGCUCUGUAAUUUUCAGGUUUAGAUUUAUGGGAAAGCUUCAGAAAGUCUCUCACCAGGAUGUUCCGUUAAUGUCAUCUUUUGAGAGUGCAGAUUCUAUUCGUGAACCAUUCGUGCCUAAUGACUUUGCGGAAGAUGGAUCAUAUCCAAUGUCUACGGUAGUUAUUUUUCUCUUAUUUUUUCUAGUUAUAUUUUCUUUUUGAUUUUAUGUAAUCGGUUUAUAUUUUCUUUCUUUCUGGUGAUGAAGGAGCCUUUGACAAAGCUCUUUUCAAGUUCUAUGUUAAUCAAGUUGGUUAUCUGCUUCUUUUUUCUUGUUCUUGCUGUUUUAUGUUUGUUUGUUAUUUUCUCUUGUUGAGGUGACUUUUGGCUUUAUGUUUUUUCAGAAAGGAAAAUCACUGAAGAGGAAGUUAUCAUCUGUUCGUAGAAGAAAUGUGGUUAGUCCUCUUCCUCUUGCCAUGAUGCUCUCGUUCACUAUUAGCUUAUUCAUUUUAUUAUUUACUGUUUUUUAGUACAUCAUUCAUGUGAUGCAGCCUCUUGCUCUCUGAUGCAGUCUGUUACUCGAUGCACCUCCAUUUGUCAAUUACUAGUUAGAUUGCCCUCUGAUGCAGCCUCUUGCUCAUUUUGCAGGAAUCUCUCAAUGUCUUCUUCAUCGAGGUAUUCAUUGUCAUCUUGUUCAUGUGAGUGCUCUGAUUCUGGUAUUUUUGUUUCUUCAUUGUUCUGGCAACUAUUGUUUUCUCUUGUUGCUGCUGAACUGGGGUCAUCAUCUUCAGCCACCUGCAUUCAUAGCAAUUUGCUUCAGUAUUUUAUUUCUUACUAGUUUUCAACUUCUAUGUAUGUAUCUUGUUAGUGAAUUUUGGUCUUUUACCUGUUCCACAUUUAUGGUGCCAAAAGGGUCUGCAUGCUAGGGGUUUUCUUCUGUUGCACCUUCUUCGGUUGGUGCAGUUUCAGUUUCCAUUUCGUCGAAUGUCUGCAGAAUAGUACUGAAGCUGUAAGUAGCUCUCUUAUUUUUGUCAGAUCAUGAUAGUUUAUCCAAAUUUUUGUCACUUACUGUCGAAUGGACUGAUGUGUUGUUGCUGUUAUGAGUUCUGUUACUCGAUGCACCUCCAUUUGCUGAAUGUACCUGUAAGAAACAUGCUCAUAAAAUAUAGUUCUUGCUGUAAUAUCACAACAAAUGAAACCCAUUUCUUUUCCAAGAAGCUGUAAAAGUAGUACUGUUUUUGUAAGAAUUUUUUCUUACCUUGUAUAUAAUGUCUGAGUGUAGGAGCGCAAUAAAAGAAAAUGAUUCCUGCAGUGUUUUUGUAUGUUAGAUUUUGUUUUUGAUGUACUCAGCUUUUUCUUAUAAGUUUUUGACGUUUAUUGGUACUUACAUUUAGGAUGAGAUCUUCAUGUGACAUUGACAGUAGUUCGUCUUCUGUUAUUAUCCUUGUCAUGCUCCCCAUCUGCAUAUUUUGGAAAAGAAAUGUCAGUGUUAGUACAACAAACAUAUGUAUAGUCCAAAGGAAUUACAGUAUAAUUCCUGUAAUCUCUAGAACAGUCCAAAUGAUUUACACAGUAAUUACUGUAAUCUCUAGGGGGGUUUCCCCAUUUGCCGAUGAAUUACAGUAUAAUUCGGAAAGUUUCUGCUAGUGUAAAAAUUGUGUUACAUUCCAUUUCCCCAUUUCCCUCUGUAAUUGAUUGGCAAUUUUACAUUGUAAUUCGUUUUGUAUUUUUACCCUGUACACUUUAACACUCGAAUUACUAUAAUUACUAUGGGAUUUACACUGUAAUUACUGUUGUAUUGCAGUUUAUUCCAUAGGUAGUUUCAGUGUAAGUUGACAAAUUUCACUGUAAUUCAUCGGCAGUUACACUGUAGGUCUGUUACCAUUUUAGGCAAUACCCUGAUUUUCAGUGUAAGUUGGCAUGGUUUUGCUACUGUCCUGUGUAUUGUCAUUUCAGGCAUCAGGUGUUGUUUCAGUGUAAUUUCUUCAACUAUGCAAGUUUUUUCUACUGCUACUGAUCAACUAUUUGCAGAGUAUUAAGUUUUCUCUACUGUUGAGAUUACAGUGAAAUUUAUGCUGAGAUUUAUGGUGUUAUGUAGGAGGGGUGGAGAGGGGUUUCCCUUUUCCGUGCGUAGCAAGUUGAUGGCAAGCAGGGAAGUUGUGGCCAGCUGUUAGCUGUGGUCUAGGGAGGGUUUGGUGGGGCUGGUUUACUGGAAACCGGGGCAGGGUUAUGCCCGACCCGUUUUUGCCGAAAUACAGAAAAUAAAGUGGCUGGUGGGAGGUUUUUUUGGGACAUACAGGUGUCAUCUGUUCAUUUGCUAUGAAAUUUGAAUGUUGUCAAAUUGAAAAAUAGUCGAAUGUCAAAUAGACAGUCCCUAAAUAUAUCCCUCUUGUGUUCUUUUAGGAAAAGAAAAUUUGUCAUUUUUUCAGGUUCCUAAUACAGUGUCCCACGCAUCAUCUCUUUUGUUCAAAUAGAACAUUUUGUUGCCAACGCGUUUGCACUGAGUAUGAAUACCAUAGA